UAUGUUGGUCAUCCGAAUCCAUUGAAAGAAGGCUAGGAACUCUUUCGUAAAGGGCUUCUAAGUGAAGCUGUGCUGGCUUUAGAGGCUGAGGUUCUGAAGAAUCCAGACAAUGCUGAAGGUUGGAGGUUGCUUGGAAUAACAAAUGCUAAAAAUGAUGAUGAUCAAUGGGCUAUUGCAUCAAUGAUGUAGGCACAUGAAGCAGACCCAACAAACCUGGAAGUGCUUCUUGCUCUUGGUGUGAGUCACACUAAUGAGUUGGAGCGAUCAACAACAUUGAAGUAUCUUUAUAGUUGGCUUCAGCAUCACUCAAAGUAUAGGGCACUUGCACCGCCAGAGCAGCCUGUUUCUCUAU